UGGGGGUGUAGCUCAGUUGGCUAGAGUGCUUGCAUGGCAUGCAAGAGGUCAAGGGUUCGAUUCCCUUCACCUCCAU
rnacentral:tRNA from 1 species